rnacentral:rRNA from 1 species
CUUAGAGUUUGAUCCUGGCUCAGGAUGAACGCUGGCGGCGUGCCUAAUACAUGCAAGUCGAACGAAUCUCUUUUAGAGAUGAGUGGCGAACGGGUGAGUAAUACAUAGGUAACCUGCCCCUGUGCGGGGGAUAACAGGAGGAAACUCCUGCUAAUACCGCAUAGCCAUGAGCACCGCAUGGAGCUCAUGCCAAAUAUCCUUUAUGGGAUAGCGCAGGGAUGGACCUAUGGCGCAUUAGCUGGUUGGCGGGGCAACGGCCCACCAAGGCAACGAUGCGUAGCCGGCCUGAGAGGGCGGACGGCCACAUUGGGACUGAGACACGGCCCAGACUCCUACGGGAGGCAGCAGUAGGGAAUUUUCGGCAAUGGGGGAAACCCUGACCGAGCAACGCCGCGUGAGCGAAGAAGGCCUUCGGGUCGUAAAGCUCUGUUGUAAAGGAAGAACGGCGCAUACAGGAAAUGGUAUGCGAGUGACGGUACUUUACCAGAAAGCCACGGCUAACUACGUGCCAGCAGCCGCGGUAAUACGUAGGUGGCGAGCGUUAUCCGGAAUCAUUGGGCGUAAAGAGGGAGCAGGCGGCCGCAAGGGUCUGUGGUGAAAGCCCGAAGCUAAACUUCGGUAAGCCAUGGAAACCGGGCGGCUAGAGUGCGGAAGAGGAUCGUGGAAUUCCAUGUGUAGCGGUGAAAUGCGUAGAUAUAUGGAGGAACACCAGUGGCGAAGGCGACGGUCUGGGCCGCAACUGACGCUCAUUCCCGAAAGCGUGGGGAGCAAAUAGGAUUAGAUACCCUAGUAGUCCACGCCGUAAACGAUGGUCACUAAGUGUCGGGGGUCAAACCCCGGUGCUGCAGUCAACGCAAUAAGUGACCCGCCUGAGUAGUACGUUCGCAAGAAUGAAACUCAAAGGAAUUGACGGAAGGGCGAAUUCUG